GCCCACCCAAGACUAACGUGGUUGCUUCUUCUCACGUUAACAACGUUAACGUUUUCACUAACGUUUUUUUUUUCCUUCUCAUGUAAAAAGUGGCCGCCCAAUUUCUCCCUCUUUUUUUGUUUAUUUUUCUUUUUUCUAGGCUUCUAGCCUUCCAAAUCAGAUCUUAGAACUGAUUUGUUAACGUUUUCACUAACGUUUUUUUUUCCUUCUCACGUUAACAGUGCCUGCCCAAGUUCUCCCUCUUUUUUUGUUUAUUUUUCUUUUUUCUAGCCUUCCAAAUCAGAUUUUAAAACUGGGCUAAAGCAUAUGUGAAGAUGUCAUUUUCUGCAGGAAUGACUAUAACUCAAUUGAGUGAGAGUAGAAACUCUGAUUUGAAGGAUUAUUUACAUAAAUUUCUAAAACUUUUCACCUAUUAAGAUAAAAAGGAUUAUUUACAGUAAUUUUGAAUGGACAGUCUUGUAAUUUUGUAGUUUUUCAUGAUUACUACCUUAAUUGUUUGUGAUGAGGAGGCGUGCUCUUUGAAUGGAUAGUUUUUAUUUUGGGUUUAAAAAAAUGCAUGCCAAGUGCUUGAGAAAAGUUCCCAAAGAAUUUCAAAUAGGGUCAGGGCCAACUAGCAUAUACUGUGAAGGAAUUAUUGUAUUUGAAGGAAUCAUGCUCAGGCCAACUAGCAAACUGAAGCAGCUAUAGCACUGCACCAGUUAUGCAGCAGCCACAGCACUGCAUCAGUUAUGCAGCAGCCACAGCACUGCACUAGGCACCUAUUAGAGAUUUUAUAACCGCAACAACAUAGAUUAAUCUAUAUAAUAAUAACUAAUAGCCGAAACAUUUGACUUUUUGUUGACUGCUUCUCAUUGCGCCACGUGACUACAUAAAUCACUACCACGUUUACAUUUUAAAAACCUUAAAAGAGAUGACUUUUGGUUCAAUGGUCUAUAUGAAACAAUUUUCUGAUUCAUUAGAUACAACGUUUUUCAUCUUAAAAGUUUCUCAAAAAACAUUAAGUUCUUCUCAGAGAAAAAAAAAAAAAAAACAACGUUUUGACUCUUGGUUAGCAGUUUACAAACCCAUUUCAUAUUCCUACCCAUAAAAAACUAUAUAAAAAAAAAAAAAAAAUCAAACACUUCACUUUUUCCCUCUCCCUAUACGCUCCCUUCUCCCUUUCUCUGUCUCUCUCUCUCACUCUUCUGAAAUGUAUUUCCUAUGCACAAUUUUGAAACAAUUUCUCUCUAUUUGGUUGAAAAACUCAGAAAAAUGGCUUCUCCUCUUCAAGAACAAACCCAAGGGAGAAAUAACUAUGCCCGGCCAUUCCUGCCCCCGCCUAUUCCCUCCUGAUACUCCAACCACAGGAACCGCUGGCACACAAAUAUACAAUUUGUAAGGUGCACCGUUACCAUCAGACCGUCGGAACUACCAUCGGUUUAUCUCUUGAACCUGUUUGGCUUCCUAUUAAUUGGAAAUGUUCAUAGUUUGCAUAAUAUUGCAUUCAUAAAUCCAACAUAUCAGAUGAGGCGCUUUAGAAAAAUUGGAGUCAUCAUUGUAAUGGAUGGGCUAAUUCAUGAAAUGCGCCAACUUUAAAAUUUUUUAUUUAAUUUUUUAUUGAUGUAAGUUGCGUAAGCUUUUUGUUGUAAAAUUGGUAGUACCUUUAGCAUUUUCCAUAUGUUCUUACAUUUCAAUGCUUUGAUUGGGGAGUUU